rnacentral:misc_RNA from 1 species
GAUGAGAACGUAGUGAAAUGCGAUAAGUAAUGUGAAUUGCAGAAUUCAGUGAAUCAUCGAAUCUUUGAACGCACAUUGCGCCCGCCAGUAUUCUGGCGGGCAUGCCUGUUCGAGCGUCAUUACAACCCUCAGGCCCCCGGGCCUGGCGUUGGGGAUCGGCGGAAGCCCCCUGUGGGCACACGCCGUCCCUCAAAUACAGUGGCGGUCCCGCCGCAGCUUCCAUUGCGUAGUAGCUAACACCUCGCAACUGGAGAGCGGCGCGGCCAUGCCGUAAAACACCCAACUUCUGAAUGUUGACCUCGAAUCAGGUAGGAAUACCCGCUGAACUUAAGCAUAUCAAUAAGCGGAGGA